rnacentral:rRNA from 1 species
GACGAACGCUGGCGGCGUGCCUAAUACAUGCAAGUUGAGCGCUGAAGGUUGGUACUUGUACCGACUGGAUGAGCAGCGCACGGGUGAGUAACGCGUGGGGAAUCUGCCUUUGAGCGGGGGACAACAUUUGGAAACGAAUGCUAAUACCGCAUAAAAACUUUAAACACAAGUUUUAAGUUUGAAAGAUGCAAUUGCAUCACUCAAAGAUGAUCCCGCGUUGUAUUAGCUAGUUGGUGAGGUAAAGGCUCACCAAGGCGAUGAUACAUAGCCGACCUGAGAGGGUGAUCGGCCACAUUGGGACUGAGACACGGCCCAAACUCCUACGGGAGGCAGCAGUAGGGAAUCUUCGGCAAUGGACGAAAGUCUGACCGAGCAACGCCGCGUGAGGGAAGAAGGGUUUCGGAUCGUAAAACUCUGUUGGUAGAGAAGAACGUUGGUGAGAGUGGAAAGCUCAUCAAGUGACGGUAACUACCCAGAAAGGGACGGCUAACUACGUG